rnacentral:hammerhead_ribozyme from 1 species
AUCCAGCUGACGAGUCCCGAAUAGGACGAAACGACCGUCCUGGAU